rnacentral:lncRNA from 1 species
AUGUCGAUGCACAUUUGCAAGCUUUUUCUCUUGGGACUUGUAUGCAUUGCGUUGGUUCUAUCUUCAGGAGCUACCCAAGGUGAUACUUUUCAAUCAAAAUGCAUUUUUGGAAAUUGUGGAGAUUGCGAAAAAAGAUGCAUUCAGGCGGGAUUUGAAGUUGGUUCAUGUACUUUUGAAGGGGAUUGUUGUUGCUAUAAACCUUUUUGA